rnacentral:sRNA from 1 species
AUAACUUAAGGUCUUCAUGUGAACUCUACAUUUUUCUGCUUUUUAAAAAAUAGCCAUUAUCCUAAAACAAACAAAAAUCCUGUAUUAACAUCCAAGCCAGAGCAGUCAUGAAUAGUUUUAUUUGCUAACAAAUAAGCUCACUCAAAUCACAUUAAAAAUCACUCAAGGAGAAUAAUUUAUAGGUAUUAUUUUUCUACCUUUAAUUUUUAUUUUUCUGUCUUUCAAUUUCUAUUUGUUCCUUUCCUAAGCAUAAGUGCUCUUUUGGAGGUUUAAUCAGUCAACCAGUAUUUAUUGGAAGUAUUUUGUAUGGAAAGCACUGAGCAAGCUGUUGUGAGAUUCCUAAAGUAUUUUAAGAUGAGGUUUCUGCCCUAUCUACUUAGAGAGCGUUCUUACUUCCGUACUCUUCUCAUGUAUGGGUUCCACUUUCUGGUGUGGUUCCUUUGUGUCAAAGGAAUCAGGGACACACAGUGUGGGUUCAAAUUAUUUACUCGAGAAGCAGCUUCACGGACGUUUUCAUCUCUACACGUUGAACGAUGGGCAUUUGAUGUAGAACUACUGUACAUAGCACAGUUCUUUAAAAUUCCAAUAGCAGAAAUUGCUGUCAACUGGACAGAAAUUGAAGGUUCUAAAUUAGUUCCAUUCUGGAGCUGGCUACAAAUGGGUAAAGACCUACUUUUUAUACGACU